rnacentral:misc_RNA from 1 species
UCCUGGUUAACCCAGGCAGUCUCACUAGAGUUCCCACCAUAACAUGUUGGCAACUAAUGAUAAGGGUUGCGCUCGUUGCGGGACUUAACCCAACACCUCACGGCACGAGCUGACGACAGCCAUGCAGCACCUGUUCAGAGGCCCCGAAGGGCUUGCUCAUCUCUGAGCAAUUCCUCUGUAUGUCAAGUCUGGGUAAGGUUCUUCGCGUUGCAUCGAAUUAAACCACAUGCUCCACUGCUUGUGCGGGUCCCCGUCAAUUCUUUUGAGUUUCAGCCUUGCGACUGUACUCCCCAGGCGGUAUACUUAACGCGUUCGCUACGGCACAGCCAGGGUUGAGUCCGGCUACACCUAGUAUACAUCGUUUACGGCAAGGACUAC